UGAGCAACCUGCCCUUGACUCUGGAAUAACAGUUGGAAACAGCUGCUAAUACCGGGUAUGACCUGUCACCGCAUGGUGGUGGGUGGAAAGUUCUGACGGUCAGGGAUGGGCUCGCGGCCUAUCAGCUUGUUGGUGAGGUAAUGGCUCACCAAGGCUUCGACGGGUAGCCGGCCUGAGAGGGCGACCGGCCACACUGGGACUGAGAUACGGCCCAGACUCCUACGGGAGCAG
rnacentral:rRNA from 1 species